GCUUUUCUGUGUUCACCUCCUCUUCCCCAAAAUUGAUAAUGUCAACAUUUACUUUCUCCUUCUUGAGGCGUUUAGCCAGUUUCACCAGAUCCUUCUCAUUGUCCUCCACUGGGCUUCCCACAAAGGCAAUGAUGCGCAUCUUGUGAUUCUUGCCUUGUCGGUGCUUCAGAGCCAGAUGGGCCACGCGGAUGCCCGUGCAGAAGGUGAUCUUGCCCUUGGGUUGGACAGUAUGUAGCUUGGACAGGAUACGGCCAGUGUCUGGGGUGA
rnacentral:misc_RNA from 1 species